UGUUUCGGCAAGGGGGUCAUCCCGACUUACCAACCCGAUGCAAACUGCGAAUACCGGAGAAUGUUAUCACGGGAGACACACGGCGGGUGCUAACGUCCGUCGUGAAGAGGGAAACAACCCAGACCGCCAGCUAAGGUCCCAAAGUCAUGGUUAAGUGGGAAACGAUGUGGGAAGGCCCAGACAGCCAGGAUGUUGGCUUAGAAGCAGCCAUCAUUUAAAGAAAGCGUAAUAGCUCACUGGUCGAGUCGGCCUGCGCGGAAGAUGUAACGGGGCUAAACCAUGCACCGAAGCUGCGGCAGCGACGCUGAUGCGUUGUUGGGUAGGGGAGCGUUCUGUAAGCCUGUGAAGGUGUGCUGUGAGGCAUGCUGGAGGUAUCAGAAGUGCGAAUGCUGACAUAAGUAACGAUAAAGCGGGUGAAAAGCCCGCUCGCCGGAAGACCAAGGGUUCCUGUCCAACGUUAAUCGGGGCAGGGUGAGUCGACCCCUAAGGCGAGGCCGAAAGGCGUAGUCGAUGGGAAACAGGUUAAUAUUCCUGUACUUGGUGUUACUGCGAAGGGGGGACGGAGAAGGCUAUGUUGGCCGGGCGACGGUUGUCCCGGUUUAAGCGUGUAGGCUGGUUUUCCAGGCAAAUCCGGAAAAUCAAGGCUGAGGCGUGAUGACGAGGCACUACGGUGCUGAAGCAACAAAUGCCCUGCUUCCAGGAAAAGCCUCUAAGCAUCAGGUAACAUCAAAUCGUACCCCAAACCGACACAGGUGGUCAGGUAGAGAAUACCAAGGCGCUUGAGAGAACUCGGGUGAAGGAACUAGGCAAAAUGGUGCCGUAACUUCGGGAGAAGGCACGCUGAUAUGUAGGUGAAGUCCCUCGCGGAUGGAGCUGAAAUCAGUCGAAGAUACCAGCUGGCUGCAACUGUUUAUUAAAAACACAGCACUGUGCAAACACGAAAGUGGACGUAUACGGUGUGACGCCUGCCCGGUGCCGGAAGGUUAAUUGAUGGGGUCAGCGCAAGCGAAGCUCUUGAUCGAAGCCCCGGUAAACGGCGGCCGUAACUAUAACGGUCCUAAGGUAGCGAAAUUCCUUGUCGGGUAAGUUCCGACCUGCACGAAUGGCGUAAUGAUGGCCAGGCUGUCUCCACCCGAGACUCAGUGAAAUUGAACUCGCUGUGAAGAUGCAGUGUACCCGCGGCAAGACGGAAAGACCCCGUGAACCUUUACUAUAGCUUGACACUGAACAUUGAGCCUUGAUG
rnacentral:rRNA from 1 species